UACGUAGGGGGCAAGCGUUGUCCGGAUUUAUUGGGCGUAAAGCGCGCGCAGGCGGUCUGCCAAGUUCGGAGUGACAGUUUCCGGCUUAACCGGAAAAGGUCUUACGAAAACUGGUGGACUUGAGGACUUGAGGGGGAGACGGAAUUCCGGGUGGAGCGGUGAAAUGCGUGAGAGAAUCCGGAGGACACCGAAGGCGAAGGCAGUCUCCUGGCAAGUUACUGACGCUGAGACGCG
rnacentral:rRNA from 1 species